rnacentral:lncRNA from 1 species
GAUCUCUGUUUCAAAUGACUCGAUGCGGCCUUGGCGAUGGUCCUGCUAGAGAGUUCGUCGAUGGCAGCAGCAAGCAGUCCCAAGGCAUAGGUAAGCUCCUUUGUUUGAUAUAUUUUAGCUUCGUCCAGCAGGGUGGGCAACCGUCUUCUUCUCUUCAAUUAAUCAUAUCUAUCUGUGUAGGUUUCACUGGAUUUAAUUUUAGUUUUGUCUGCAUUGAGUUUGUUGUUUGAUUAUUUUAUCAAGUGGAACCUGGCUUCUCAUGGACCUCCCAGCAUUUACCUAAGCAAUGGUUACUAUACUAUACACAUCAACUACAGUUGCGGAGAUCUGAACUACAAAUUGCCCUAUGGUGUAUUAACUCUGAAAUAUCAUGCACAAUCAUGUACAUUAAAUGUUUGAAUAAGUAGGAUGUUCUUGCUUAACAUAGUUUACUGCAGCAAAUACUUUGUAUGUGCUUCCAAAGUUCUCUUGCUUGCCGGCCGCUUCUGUUGCAUCCUUCUGGCAACCUGAGAGUAAACUGCUGGAGGUGAUAUAACGUUCUCCCUUCCAUUGCAUGGUUUGCUGCCAAUGCUCACUAUUCUUUUGCAUUUCUUCUAUGGCUAAAAGUCGUCCAACAAUUUUCAUAUGUACCUGCUUCUUCUGCAGAUGUUAUUAUUGCAUUAGCGAACUGCUCGUCUGUAAUUUUUUCUCUGCGAAAUAAAUACACAUGCAUAAUUUUUAUUUUAUCAUCUGCAAUUCUGGUUUAUUUUAUAGUCUUGGUUGAGGUCCACUUUAUUAGCCAAGAAAUUAUCUAUUUAUUUGAUUUGCCUAAAUAGACAGUAAGGUCUACUAUUUUUAUUUUAUUGGAGCCAUAGUUUGAUUGAACCAUACUGAAGUUACAAGUAAUUUCUGUUUUUACAUCUGUAUAUUUGAUUUGCUUCAUGUUCUUGAUUGAGACAAGUGAGGAGGAACAUCGACUAUUUUGCUAGGCAAUCACAUCUAAGACAAAACAUCCACGGUUGUUGUAUGAGUAAAAGCUAUACAAAAUACUUUUAAGGAGGAAGCAAUAUAUGUGUUUUCUUUUCGCUUCCUUGCUCUUGCUUAGUCCAGUCUAUUUUAUUCACAAAGGAAUCAACUGAUAUUCUCUUUUCUUCGGCAGCCGGAAUUCGAAAUUUCAAGUGCUUUGAUGUAGAUAGUGAUUACAAUGUGGCCAGGCCUUGAGGAUUUUUUCAGGUUUUGUAACAGGAAGUUAUCUCUAAAAACUAUUUUUCAUGGUUGCUAUCAAAUGGUAUGUUAAUAUUCCCUUGGCUUCAUUACUUUGGUCCAGCUUUGUUUUUGUUAGAUCAAUCAUGUUGAGUUCGUGCAUUCUGUUGAUCUAACACGAUGAAAGUAUAGAGAUACGUUGACACACCAGCACAUUCCAUAGUCAUACAUGUUAAUGUUUGUAUCCCUUAUUGAUAUACUUGACCGUUCCGAAUUACCGAUAGUCAUACAAGUUAAUAUUAUUAUCCCUUAUUGAUAUACUCGACUGUUCAGAAUUACCGCUAAUCUUCAGCGGUUACCAAAUAAUUGGAGAAUCUGGAUCUUGGUGCUUGAUUUUGGCAUCUAUGGUACAUGGCUUGAUAUGUUUUUCUCGAUUCUACUUUAUGGUACAUGGCUUGAUGAAGGCAAUUCUACUUUAUGGUACAUGGCUUGAUAUGUUUUUCUCGAUUCUGUUUGUAACUGAUCUGUACUCCUCCAUAUCCACCAUGUUUGACAUAUUAAUUCUGUAAUUCUAUAAUCAUGCAUUAAGAAUGACAAGUGUAUCAUUAGUGUUGCUUCUACUGGUACAUAUUGUCAUAUUAGUUGAGUUAUCAACUGCUGCUAUCAUAUGCUUAGUAAAGUCCCUACCAUUGAAUGCUAAUUUAAAUACAACAACUCACCCACUGAUGAUGCCAUUGAGCCCUGUUCGUACUAAAAAUUGUUAUUUUCUCGCUCUAGGUGUCAGUUAACUAAAUCGACAACAAUCAGAGUUUAAAGUCCUCCUUGUUGCAACCGGCAAUGUCCGGUCCUGGCUGAAGGUAGGAGCUGCUUUAUGCAUUGUUCAUGUUGUGUUCUUUACCUUUUUUGUGAGUUUUGCACAAAAGUUUCUCCAGUUACAGGCUUAAAAGGAUCGCUUUGCAUGGAACAAUGUUCAGAACCUAAUAUAACUAAAUGUCAGUUGCCUGCUCAGUACACUCUUUCAAAGUUGUGAGCGGAUAAAUUGUGGUUAUAGAGAGUAGAGUUUGAUUCAUUGCCUGAUGUAGGAAGGUAGGAUCGAAGUGCUUUUUCAACUAUGGUAAUCGCCAUGGUUUUCUUUUUGGCUUCUUAUGCAUAAGAUCUAAUUUUAGUUUUAAGUGUUACCCAAACAGAGGAGUAUUUAUAUUUGCAGCAGCACUUUGUGGAUCAUAACGGGCAAAUAUUUUUGUAGAAGAUAAGUCAGGUUUAGAACCUUUGAGUACGACAAGUAAAAACUAAAAGUAAAUCCAUUGUAUAUAUUCAAGAGUGGUUAUAGCUCUUUUAUGAUUAGUUUCAAAUACCUAUGACUUUUUAAGCUGCACUUUUAAUAAGAAUUCACUGUUUUGUAAGAAAGUAUUUUGAUGGAAUUAUGUAUAUGGCUACUUGGUUCUGAUGUUUUCUGGAAUUGUGCAGACUUGGUAGUCACAAUGGAGUUCUGAGACAGGAAUCUUGAUCAUUUCUAACAAAUGAUAAUAGUAUGUUGUAUCACUUUAGUUGAUUCAGAUUUCAACCAUACUCUGUUUUGCUUUCUGCAAGGCCAGGAUUGUACCAUUCUUUUAGGAAGACAAGGUCUUCUCUCUUGUUGUUUGGAUGCACUGUGCACUUAUACAUGAGCAGUAUUAAUAUCAGUACUCUCCACUUUGUUAAGACCUGCUUGGUAUAAGUUAUUGGAGAUGUGUGGAAUACAUAUUCUGGUGAAAUCUUAUAUAUCUGAUUCUGUCAUAAUAAGCAUUGCAUAUAUUAUUCACAUAGGUCAUACAGUUUCUCAUAGGACUUCUAUACAAUACAUCUCAGUAUACUAUUACAUUUGAUCAAAAUAUUAAGCUGAGAUUCCUUUUCAAUUCUUCGACACAGGAGGAAUGUACAACACGGAGAUUCAUCUGUUCUAU